UUUGACUCAAAGAGGCUGAUGCUGUCGUG
rnacentral:piRNA from 1 species